rnacentral:SRP_RNA from 1 species
GCCGGGUGUGGUGGCGCACACCUGUAAUCCCAGCUACUCAGGAGGCUGAGGCAGGAGAAUUGCUUGAACUCAGGAGGUAGAGGUUGCAGUGAGCCAAGAUCGCACCACUGCAUUCCAGCCUGGGUGACAGAGUGAGACUCUGUCUCAA